CGUACACUCCUACGGGAGGCAGCAGUGGGGAAUAUUGGACAAUGGGCGCAAGCCUGAUCCAGCCAUGCCGCGUGAGUGAUGAAGGCCCUAGGGUUGUAAAGCUCUUUCACCGGUGAAGAUAAUGACGGUAACCGGAGAAGAAGCCCCGACUAACUUCGUGCCAGCAGCCGCGGUAAUACGAAGGGGGCUAGCGUUGUUCGGAUUUACUGGGCGUAAAGCGCACGUAGGCGGACUAUUAAGUCAGGGGUGAAAUCCCGGGGCUCAACCCCGGAACUGCCUUUGAUACUGGUAGUCUUGAGUUCGAGAGAGGUGAGUGGAAUUCCGAGUGUAGAGGUGAAAUUCGUAGAUAUUCGGAGGAACACCAGUGGCGAAGGCGGCUCACUGGCUCGAUACUGACGCUGAGGUGCGAAAGCGUGGGGAGCAAACAGGAUUAGAAACCCCGGUAGUCCCAUG
rnacentral:rRNA from 1 species